AGCGCAUACGGUGGAUGCCUUGGCAGUCAGAGGCGAUGAAAGACGUGGUAGCCUGCGAAAAGCUUCGGGGAGUCGGCAAACAGACUUUGAUCCGGAGAUCUCUGAAUGGGGGAACCCACCUAGGAUAACCUAGGUAUCUUGUACUGAAUCCAUAGGUGCAAGAGGCGAACCAGGGGAACUGAAACAUCUAAGUACCCUGAGGAAAAGAAAUCAACCGAGAUUCCCUUAGUAGUGGCGAGCGAACGGGGAUUAGCCCUUAAGCUUCAUUGAUUUUAGCGGAACGCUCUGGAAAGUGCGGCCAUAGUGGGUGAUAGCCCCGUACGCGAAAGGAUCUUUGAAGUGAAAUCGAGUAGGACGGAGCACGAGAAACUUUGUCUGAACAUGGGGGACCAUCCUCCAAGGCUAAAUACUACUGACUGACCGAUAGUGAACCAGUACCGUGAGGGAAAGGCGAAAAGAACCCCGGAGAGGGGAGUGAAAUAGAACCUGAAACCGUAUGCGUACAAGCAGUGGGAGCCUACUUGUUAGGUGACUGCGUACCUUUUGUAUAAUGGGUCAGCGACUUAUAUUCAGUGGCAAGCUUAACCGUAUAGGGUAGGCGUAGCGAAAGCGAGUCUUAAUAGGGCGUUUAGUCGCUGGGUAUAGACCCGAAACCGGGCGAUCUAUCCAUGAGCAGGUUGAAGGUUAGGUAACACUGAUGGAGGACCGAACCCACUCCCGUUGAAAAGGUAGGGAUGACUUGUGGAUCGGAGUGAAAGGCUAAUCAAGCUCGGAGAUAGCUGGUUCUCCUCGAAAGCUAUUUAGGUAGCGCCUCAUGUAUCACUCUGGGGGGUAGAGCACUGUUUCGGCUAGGGGGUCAUCCCGACUUACCAAACCGAUGCAAACUCCGAAUACCCAGAAGUGCCGAGCAUGGGAGACACACGGCGGGUGCUAACGUCCGUCGUGAAAAGGGAAACAACCCAGACCGCCAGCUAAGGUCCCAAAGUUGUGGUUAAGUGGUAAACGAUGUGGGAAGGCUUAGACAGCUAGGAGGUUGGCUUAGAAAGCAGCCAUCCUUUAAAGAAAGCGUAAUAGCUCACUAGUCGAGUCGGCCUGCGCGGAAGAUGUAACGGGGCUCAAACCACACACCGAAGCUGCGGGUGUCACGUAAGUGACGCGGUAGAGGAGCGUUCUGUAAGCCUGUGAAGGUGAGUUGAGAAGCUUGCUGGAAGGUAUCAGAAGUGCGAAUGCUGACAUGAGUAACGACAAUGGGUGUGAAAAACACCCACGCCGAAAGACCAAGGGUUCCUGCGCAACGUUAAUCGACGCAGGGUUAGUCGGUUCCUAAGGCGAGGCUGAAAAGCGUAGUCGAUGGGAAACAGGUUAAUAUUCCUGUACUUCUGGUUACUGCGAUGGAGGGACGGAGAAGGCUAGGCCAGCUUGGCGUUGGUUGUCCAAGUUUAAGGUGGUAGGCUGAAAUCUUAGGUAAAUCCGGGGUUUCAAGGCCGAGAGCUGAUGACGAGUCGUCUUUUAGAUGACGAAGUGGUUGAUGCCAUGCUUCCAAGAAAAGCUUCUAAGCUUCAGGUAAUCAGGAACCGUACCCCAAACCGACACAGGUGGUCGGGUAGAGAAUACCAAGGCGCUUGAGAGAACUCGGGUGAAGGAACUAGGCAAAAUGGCACCGUAACUUCGGGAGAAGGUGCGCCGGCUAGGGUGAAGGAUUUACUCCGUAAGCUCUGGCUGGUCGAAGAUACCAGGCCGCUGCGACUGUUUAUUAAAAACACAGCACUCUGCAAACACGAAAGUGGACGUAUAGGGUGUGACGCCUGCCCGGUGCCGGAAGGUUAAUUGAUGGGGUUAGCGCAAGCGAAGCUCUUGAUCGAAGCCCGGUAAACGGCGGCCGUAACUAUAACGGUCCUAAGGUAGCGAAAUUCCUUGUCGGGUAAGUUCCGACCUGCACGAAUGGCGUAACGAUGGCGGCGCUGUCUCCACCCGAGACUCAGUGAAAUUGAAAUCGCUGUGAAGAUGCAGUGUAUCCGCGGCUAGACGGAAAGACCCCGUGAACCUUUACUGUAGCUUUGCACUGGACUUUGAGCCUGCUUGUGUAGGAUAGGUGGGAGGCUUUGAAGCGUGGACGCCAGUUCGCGUGGAGCCAUCCUUGAAAUACCACCCUGGCAUGCUUGAGGUUCUAACUCUGGUCCGUGAUCCGGAUCGAGGACAGUGUAUGGUGGGCAGUUUGACUGGGGCGGUCUCCUCCUAAAGAGUAACGGAGGAGUACGAAGGUGCGCUCAGACCG
rnacentral:rRNA from 1 species